UACGUAGGGUGCGAGCGUUGUCCGGAAUUAUUGGGCGUAAAGGGCUCGUAGGCGGUUUGUCGCGUCGGGAGUGAAAACUCAGGGCUUAACCCUGAGCCUGCUUCCGAUACGGGCAGACUAGAGGUAUGCAGGGGAGAACGGAAUUCCUGGUGUAGCGGUGAAAUGCGCAGAUAUCUGGAGGAACACCGGUGGCGAAGGCGGCAUCCUGGACCAAUACUGACGCUGAGGAGCGAAAGCCAGGGGAGCAAACGGG
rnacentral:rRNA from 1 species